GAAACGCCGCGUGGUUACCCGUGAAUUGCUUUUAAAGUCUCGCCCACUUCCUCUUUUUCCCCUCAUUUUUCUCACGCCUCUCUUUUCCUUUUCCUCCAUAGAGCCUUCCAUCACCACCACCUCAGCCGCCGUAGCCAGCGUUCAUUUGUUUCCAAUUAUUCAGAACUCCCAUUACCACUUUCUUCUCUUUUCUUUCUAAGGUAUUGCUCUUUAUAUUUCCUUUCUCUGAAUUCUUGAUUCGUACCGAAUUUUAAAGAACGAUUCAAUUUGAGAGGUUUCAUAGCUUUAUUCUGUUCUGCACGUAUCAAUUUGUUCUUACUGUUUCAGGCCAAAAAAAAAAAGAGUAUAUUCAAGAGAAUUAUAUUAAUGGCUUCGUUGAUCUCAAGCCUCGAAUCGCAAGAAUUCAAGCAGAGGAAGAAGCGAAGAAAACUCACUGACCAAACGCAGAAUCACGCUCAAAACGACAAUACGAACAAUCGAACUAUCACCAAUCCAAGGUGGAAAACCCAAGCGGAGCUGCAGAUCUAUUCCUCCAAGCUUCUCGAAGCUCUCCGCUUAUCUCGUCGGACCUCUUCGACGGCGGCGGCUAAAGGCAGAGAAAUCAGAGAAACUGCCGACAGAGUCCUCGCCGUCGCAGGAAAAGGCACGACUAGGUGGAGCCGCGCGAUUCUGGCGGGAAGGCUCAGGUUGAGGAAGGUUAAAAAGGUUAGGAGAGUGAAGGUAACAGGUGAGAGCCGGUUGAGGAGGAAGGAGAUGGCGCGAGAGAGCAAUAGGUUACCGGUUUUGGAGGACAGAGUUCGUGCUUUGAGCCGGUUGGUUCCCGGUUGUCGGAAGACAUCGUUUACUAGUCUUUUAGAGGAAACAAGUGAUUAUAUAGCGGCUUUGGAGAUGCAGGUGAAAGCCAUGACGGCUCUGACAGAGAUUCUCGCCGCCGGUGGCGUCGCACCGGUUAGUCCAACAAACUGAGUGAAUAGCCAAUCACAACUUGUUAGUUAUUCCAGGUGUUAUUACAAUUUUUAAUUUUAUUUCUUGUAUUUUCUUUUUCUUUUAUAUUAUUUCUUGAUUAUUAAUUCAUGUACUUUAUUGUAUACGUGACUUUCUGGGGGUAUUUUCUUUUCAUUUUAGCGAAUUUUAUUAUUUAUUUAUUUU
rnacentral:misc_RNA from 1 species